UACGGAGGGUGCGAGCGUUGUCCGGAAUCACUGGGCGUAAAGGGCGCGUAGGCGGCCUGACAAGCGUGUGGUGAAAGCUCGGGGCUCAACCCCGAGUCGGCCGUGCGAACUGUUGGGCUGGAGUGCUGUAGAGGCGGGCGGAAUUCCGGGUGUAGCGGUGGAAUGCGUAGAGAUCCGGAAGAACACCGGUGGCGAAGGCGGCCCGCUGGGCAGUGACUGGACGCUGAGGCGCGACAGCGUGGGGAGCAAACGAGG
rnacentral:rRNA from 1 species